rnacentral:rRNA from 1 species
UACACGACCGUACCGCAAACCGACACUGGUGCGCGAGAUGAGUAUUCUAAGGCGCUUGAGAGAACUCAGGAGAAGGAACUCGGCAAUUGACACCGUAACUUCGGAAGAAGGUGUGCCUUUAGUAGGUGAAGGGAUUUACUCCUGGAGCCCAAUGAGGUUGCAAAAAAUCGGUGGCUGCGACUGUUUAUUAAAAACACAGCACUCUGCAAACACGAAAGUGGACGUAUAGGGUGUGACGCCUGCCCGGUGCUGGAAGAUUAAAUGAUGGGGUGCAAGCUCUUGAUUGAAGUCCCAGUAAACGGCGGCCGUAACUAUAACGGUCCUAAGGUAGCGAAAUUCCUUGUCGGGUAAGUUCCGACCUGCACGAAUGGCGUAACGAUGGCCACACUGUCUCCUCCUGAGACUCAGCGAAGUUGAAAUGUUUGUGAUGAUGCAAUCUCCCCGCGGAAAGACGGAAAGACCCCAUGAACCUUUACUGUAGCUUUGUAUUGGACUUUGAACAGAUCUGUGUAGGAUAGGUGGGAGGCUUUGAAGUAGGGUCGCUAGAUCUUAUGGAGCCAACGUUGAAAUACCACCCUGGUGUGUUUGAGGUUCUAACCUAGGUCCAUUAUCUGGAUCGGGGACAGUGCAUGGUAGGCAGUUUGACUGGGGCGGUCUCCUCCCAAAGCGUAACGGAGGAGUUCGAAGGUACGCUAGUUACGGUCGGACAUCGUGACGAUAGUGCAAUGGCAUAAGCGUGCUUAACUGCGAGACUGACAAGUCGAGCAGAUGCGAAAGCAGGACAUAGUGAUCCGGUGGUUCUGUAUGGAAGGGCCAUCGCUCAACGGAUAAAAGGUACUCUGGGGAUAACAGGCUGAUACCGCCCAAGAGUUCAUAUCGACGGCGGUGUUUGGCACCUCGAUGUCGGCUCAUCUCAUCCUGGGGCUGUAGCCGGUCCCAAGGGUAUGGCUGUUCGCCAUUUAAAGAGGUACGUGAGCUGGGUUUAAAACGUCGUGAGACAGUUUGGUCCCUAUCUUCCGUGGGCGCUGCAGAUUUGAGAAAGCCUGCUCCUAGUACGAGAGGACCGGAGUGGACACACCUCUGGUGUAUCGGUUGUCACGCCAGUGGCAUUGCCGAGUAGCUAAGUGUGGAAGAGAUAACCGCUGAAAGCAUCUAAGCGGGAAACUCGUUUCAAGAUGAGAUCUGCCGGGGCCUUGAGCCCCCUAAAGAGUCGUUCAAGACCAGGACGUUGAUAGGUCGGGUGUGGAAGCGCAGUAAUGCGUUAAGCUAACCGAUACUAAUUGCUCGUGCGGCUUGAUC